rnacentral:rRNA from 1 species
UACGUAGGGGGCUAGCGUUGUCCGGAAUCAUUGGGCGUAAAGAGCGUGUAGGCGGCCCGGUAAGUCCGCUGUGAAAGUCGGGGGCUCAACCCUCGGAUGCCAGUGGAUACUGUCGGGCUCGAGUACGGAAGAGGCGAGUGGAAUUCCUGGUGUAGCGGUGAAAUGCGUAGAGAUCUGGAGGAAUACCGGUGGCGAAGGCGGCCCCCUGGGCCAAAACUGACGCUCGGGCACGAAAGCGUGGGGAGCAAACAGG